rnacentral:lncRNA from 1 species
CAGGAGUCCCAUUAUGAAAAUUCCUGGUUUAAGUUUGAGCCUUGGGAUUAAUGGACAAGCAGUUCAGUGUAACCUGUAGUACUUAGGGGGAAAAACUCUAUGUUAACACAUUAAGUUGGAGUUCCUGCUGUGGGUUAAGAAUUUGAUUGCAGUGGCUCAGGUCGCUGAGGCAGAGGGUUUGAUCUUGGUCCAGUGCAGUGGGUUAAAGGAUCUGGCAUUGCCACAGCUGUAGUAUAGGUCACAGCUGCAGCUCAGAGUCAAUCCUUGGCCUGAGAACUUCCAUUAAUGUAUAUAUAAGAUGUACAUACACGCACACGCACACACACACAAUAAGUUAACCUGAUUUUUCUCACCUUCAGGGACUAAGGUGACCCAAAGGCUGGCGGAAAAACUUCUCAGAUUCUCAUGGAGUGAGCAAACUCAGCCCUUCUUUUUAUCUGGAAACCUUUGCUCUAUUCCCACCCCGCAUCUUGGUCCUGGUGUGGCUUCUUCCUCAGUUACUUUUGCACCCCCCUAAACCGCCUCUCCUCCUGGACAACCCUUAUUCACCAUCACAGUUUGGGCUUAUAGACUAGUUCCUUAUAGAGAAUCCCACCUCUGUCUCCUCCAAUACUAGCUACAUUCUUACCUAGUCGAACUAGUAGCUUUUUUUUUUUUUGGAUCUCUGAACCUUGCUGUUGACAAAUUAAUCUCUUCCACAAGACCCUUGUCUUUUUAAAGGUGCACACAGUGUCUCGGCGUGUGUGUGACCAAACCAAACUUGGGUCUGCUCGCCUGUGCACAACAAAGCCAAUCUACUGACACGGGGCUGUGGUGAAGGCAUGUGCAGGCUUUGUGGCAGGGCGCCAGGCAAGCUCAGGACCUCUAGUGCCCGGAAGAGCCAAAACUCCCCGAUGGGUUUCACCAGAGCAUUUUUUUUUAAUUUUUUUUUUAUUAUAGUUGAUUUACAGUGUUCUGUUAAUUUCUGCUGCACAGCAAAGUGACCCAGCCACACAUCCAUAAAUGUUCUUUUUUUCACAUUAUUUCUCCAUCAGGGCAUUUUUUGAAGGCGGUUGGGGGGGGCAGUGUAAGUGACCAUCUUUACACACUUCUCUGGUUGAUGGUGAGAUCACCAGGCAGUGUCACGGGGGUUAACAUCCUCAAUCCUUAGGUGCCAGUUGGUCUGCGGAUUACAUGCACAGGAUCAUCAAGUAGUUAAUUCCUUCCAUUAGGUGGUAGUUUUAGCAUCUGUGAAACAACUCAGGAAAUGUGCAUCAGAGACUAUUAUCUAGGUACUUCAGAGAGGAGCUAAAGCAGAGGCUAUAGGGGAAGGGCUGCCCCAGGAAGGCCCCAUAGGGUCCCGCUUGGUUACAUCUGCAUUUUCCAUCUGCAGGCCAAACAGGGUCUGGCAGGUGAGAAGUCUCAAAAUAUUUGCACAUUUGAUGUGACCAUAAGGACAAUAUGGAAACCUGGUGGGAGCCUAUUCACUUUAGAAAUGGACACAAGGAAUUCCCUUCGUGGCUCAGUGGUUAAUGAACCUGACUAAGAACCGUGAGGAUGUGGGUUCAAUCCCUGGCCUCGCUCAGUGGGUUGGGGACCCAGCGUUGCCGUGAGCUGUGGUGUAGAUCCGCAGACGUGGCCCGGAUCCCACGUUGCUGUGGCUGUGGGGUAGGCCAGCAGCUGUAGCUCCAAUUCAACCCCUAGCCUGGGAACUUCCACAUGCCUCAGGUGCAGCCCGAAAAAAGCAAAAAAAAAAAAAAGAAAAAAAAGAAAAAA